CAAAUGAAGGUUAGCUAUUUCGUUCGUGAUAUCUGAACUGAAGAGGCGAAGAGUGAACUCCUUCAUGAAAGAAAUGCAUAGUCUAGUUAGCUGAAUGAAUUGUGUCUCCAACACUUCUUGUAGCCUCCAAACAUUUUCGAUUCCGCAGCUGGAGUUUAUUUUGGGAUAAAAAGAUAUUCCUUAGGAGAUUACCAAGCGCGUCGGUAUGCCUUCCAAGAUAUUCUCCUUUUUCCUUCGAGACAGUACCCCACUCUCUGAGGACAUCCACAUCUCGUCUUUACCACCCAGUAUGACCACAGACCAGGAUCCAGGGGGAGGUGACACGUCCCAGGGGACGUCAGUGGUACAGACCACAUGCACUCGGCGAGGAACUCCUUCCCCCUCUGUGUUCCCAGAGGGUCACAAUGACACUGUGUCUAGUACCUAUUUUGAUCAGAAGGUCACCAUUCCAGAGGAAACCAGUCAGAUGAGUUUCAGUUUCCGUAAGCUGUGGGCCUACACUGGGCCUGGGUUUUUAAUGAGCAUUGCCUACCUUGACCCAGGGAACAUAGAGUCUGACCUGCAGUCUGGGGCCAAGGCUGGCUUCAAGCUGUUGUGGGUCCUACUGGGAGCCACUCUCAUUGGUCUACUGCUCCAGAGGUUGGCUGCUCGACUGGGCGUGGUCACAGGGAUGCACCUGGCGGAAGUCUGUCACUGCCAGUACCGCACAGUUCCCCGUAUUAUCCUAUGGUUAAUGGUGGAGCUGGCUAUCAUUGGUUCAGACAUGCAGGAAGUCAUUGGAUGUGCUAUUGCAUUUAACCUCCUCUCCUCUGGCAGGAUCCCACUGUGGGGAGGUGUUCUCAUCACCAUCAUUGACACGUUUGUCUUUCUCUUCUUAGACAAGUAUGGUCUGAGGAAGCUUGAAGCCUUCUUUGGGCUUCUCAUCACCAUCAUGGCCAUCACGUUUGGAUAUGAGUAUGUGACGGUGGCUCCAGACCAGGGUCAGCUGCUGAGGGGGAUGUUUGUCCCCUACUGUGAGGGCUGUGGAGCAGCCCAGCUCCAGCAGGCUGUGGGCAUCGUGGGGGCAGUCAUCAUGCCACACAACAUCUACCUGCACUCGGCCCUCGUCAAGUCUCGACAGAUUGACCGGUCUAGCAAGAAGGAGGUCAAGGAGGCCAACAAAUACUUCUUUAUUGAGUCGUCCAUUGCACUCUUCAUCUCUUUUCUCAUCAAUGUUUUCGUGGUGGCUGUGUUCGCCGAGGCGUUCUAUGGACGCACAAAUAUUGAAGUGUAUAAUGAAUGCAAUGCUACAGGCAGUCCCCAUGUUGACCUCUUCCCACUAGACAACAGCACACUACAGGUGGACAUCUACAAAGGGGGUGUGGUGCUUGGCUGCUUCUUCGGCCCGGCUGCCCUCUACAUCUGGGCUGUGGGGAUCCUGGCUGCAGGCCAGAGCUCCACCAUGACAGGAACCUACUCUGGACAGUUUGUCAUGGAGGGAUUCCUGAACUUGCACUGGUCGCGUUUCACUCGGGUGUUGCUGACCCGUUCCAUCGCCAUCACUCCCACCCUACUGGUGGCCAUCUUCCAGGAUGUGCAGCACCUGACGGGCAUGAACGACUUCCUCAACGUGCUGCAGAGCAUGCAGUUGCCAUUUGCCCUGAUCCCCAUCCUAACUUUCACCAGCCUGGCAUCCCUUAUGCAUGAUUUUGCUAAUGGAUUAGUUUGGAAGAUAGGAGGAGGAGUCUUGAUCUUGUUGGUGUGUGCCAUCAACAUGUAUUUUGUAGUGGUUUAUGUAACUAAGCUACAGAGUAUCUGGCUCUAUGUUCUGGCUGCAAUUCUCUCUCUAGCCUAUCUGGGAUUUGUAGGUUACCUGGCAUGGUUGUGUCUGAUAGCUUUGGGGGUGUCAUGUCUAGACCUCACCACCAGCAGAAGAAAUGACACCACAGUUCUGAUCGAGGAGCUGCCUGAGUUUGACUCUUGAACUCAGAAGCUGAAAGUCUGUACAGUAAUAAAAAAAAGUUGUGCUUUUAUUUUGAACUUGCUAUUUCACUUCUCCGCCACAAGGAGGCACUGUUGACUGACAGAGAUAACUAAUCCCCUGGGGCAGGGAAUGUUUGAUCAGUGCUAGACCACCAGCCCUGCACAGUAAAAUGAACAACAAUUAUAAGAAUUUUUUUAUAUGAUGUCUUGUGAAUUCUUUUAUAAACAUUGUCAAAUGUAAGAAAGCAACCACACUUUGUAUCAUCUGUAUUUUGAUAUAAUCCCUAUUUGCAGUUCUGUCCAUGCUGCAAAGCAGCUAUAGUUCCAAUGCAUAUGUUAUUGAUGUUUUGAUUUUGUGUGCUGGCAUGCCAGUGGAAUUACUGCCUUCACUUGCUGUAAACUGAUACUGCUGUUGCUCAAACUUCAGCCCUGAAAUGCCAGUGCCAUUACUGAGAGAGCGGCCAGACAGGUUUUUCUUUGCAUUGUGGCGGGGAACUUUUUUCUGUCAUGGAGGCCGACUUAUGUAAGAAGGGAGAGUCUUCCCACCUCCCCUCUGUGUUUUUGUUUUUCUCAAUGAGCCAAUCUCUCCCUGCGUAGGCCUCACAGCCUGUCCUGUAGGCCCCUUUCCUGGAAACAUAGCCUAGCAGAGGCCACUCUGGGGCAGGGCUAGGGAGGAGGGAUGGGGGAUACUUCUUCCAGCAAAUCACAUGAUUCUGAACCUAAAGACCCAGCCCUACAUAAAGCUCAGAUUGGCCAAGCUCCAGGCAGGGUGCUCAUCUGCAUGUUUGGAGGUACAUUAAAUUGCAAAAUGCAUAGUGCUGUUGCAGUGGCUUACCAUAGUGUGUACUUAUCCGCCCCAGGACCUCAACACCAGACACCCAUCUUUGCCCCUCUGACUUUCCAUCAGUCUUCUGAAGCUGAGAGGAAUCAUCUUAGGCAAUGUGACCAGCAGACAAGAACCAGACACCACCAGAGAACAACAAGCCUGUACAUCAGACUUGAGAUCACACAACACUGUCCAAGGUCUCCAGGAGAUGUCCAUUUUGCAUUUAUUGCACCUUUGUUGUUGCCUACAAAUGCCUGAAAGUAGGACGGUAAACUGCUGUGCAGUCCUUGUUUUCUUCUUGGGUUGUGUGGUUCAGCCCUGACCACAGUCCUGAUUGGGAUAUGUUUUUGGCAGAAGGGUCAGCAUGCUUCUCUCUGCUGUAGGGCGUUUCUGAUCCCUGAAUAUGUUCUCUCUUUUGACCCCUGGCCUUUGCGGGCAUUAAUGUUGAGUGGAGUCACCUUGCAAUUGGAUGAGAGACACUCUUCUUUACCUUCAGUUUGUGUAUGUAUCGUUUCAUGUACACAUGUGCAUGUAAUAUUCACUGCAUCAAUGAAUGAGCUUACCUUAUAAAAUAACUUUAUAAUAGCUGAUGCAGAGGAGGAAAAUGAGUCCCACUGAAUAAUCUUGCGUCAAAUCUUCAGAGAAACAGUGCAACAAUAUAUAAUAA